rnacentral:rRNA from 1 species
GAUGAACGCUGGCGGCGUGCCUAAUACAUGCAAGUCGAGCGAACGGACGAGAAGCUUGCUUCUCUGAUGUUAGCGGCGGACGGAUGAGUAACACGUGGAUAACCUACCUAUAAGACUGGGAUAACUUCGGGGAACCGGAGCUAAUACCGGAUAAUAUUUUGAACCGCAUGGUUCAAAAGUGAAAGACGGUCUUGCUGUCACUUAUAGAUGGAUCCGCGCUGCAUUAGCUAGUUGGUAAGGUAACGGCUUACCAAGGCAACGAUGCAUAGCCGACCUGAGAGGGUGAUCGGCCACACUGGAACUGAGACACGGUCCAGACUCCUACGGGAGGCAGCAGUAGGGAAUCUUCCGCAAUGGGCGAAAGCCUGACGGAGCAACGCCGCGUGAGUGAUGAAGGUCUUCGGAUCGUAAAACUCUGUUAUUAGGGAAGAACAUAUGUGUAAGUAACUGUGCACAUCUUGACGGUACCUAAUCAGAAAGCCACGGCUAACUACGUGCCAGCAGCCGCGGUAAUACGUAGGUGGCAAGCGUUAUCCGGAAUUAUUGGGCGUAAAGCGCGCGUAGGCGGUUUUUUAGUCUGAUGUGAAAGCCCACGGCUCAACCGUGGAGGGUCAUUGGAAACUGGAAAACUUGAGUGCAGAAGAGGAAAGUGGAAUUCCAUGUGUAGCGGUGAAAUGCGCAGAGAUAUGGAGGAACACCAGUGGCGAAGGCGACUUUCUGGUCUGUAACUGACGCUGAUGUGCGAAAGCGUGGGGAUCAAACAGGAUUAGAUACCCUGGUAGUCCACGCCGUAAACGAUGAGUGCUAAGUGUUAGGGGGUUUCCGCCCCUUAGUGCUGCAGCUAACGCAUUAAGCACUCCGCCUGGGGAGUACGACCGCAAGGUUGAAACUCAAAGGAAUUGACGGGGACCCGCACAAGCGGUGGAGCAUGUGGUUUAAUUCGAAGCAACGCGAAGAACCUUACCAAAUCUUGACAUCCUUUGACAACUCUAGAGAUAGAGCCUUCCCCUUCGGGGGACAAAGUGACAGGUGGUGCAUGGUUGUCGUCAGCUCGUGUCGUGAGAUGUUGGGUUAAGUCCCGCAACGAGCGCAACCCUUAAGCUUAGUUGCCAUCAUUAAGUUGGGCACUCUAAGUUGACUGCCGGUGACAAACCGGAGGAAGGUGGGGAUGACGUCAAAUCAUCAUGCCCCUUAUGAUUUGGGCUACACACGUGCUACAAUGGACAAUACAAAGGGCAGCGAAACCGCGAGGUCAAGCAAAUCCCAUAAAGUUGUUCUCAGUUCGGAUUGUAGUCUGCAACUCGACUACAUGAAGCUGGAAUCGCUAGUAAUCGUAGAUCAGCAUGCUACGGUGAAUACGUUCCCGGGUCU